rnacentral:rRNA from 1 species
UACGGGAGGCAGCAGUGGGGAAUAUUGCACAAUGGGCGGAAGCCUGAUGCAGCAACGCCGCGUGCGGGAUGACGGCCUUCGGGUUGUAAACCGCUUUCGCCUGUGACGAAGCGUGAGUGACGGUAAUGGGUAAAGAAGCACCGGCUAACUACGUGCCAGCAGCCGCGGUGAUACGUAGGGUGCGAGCGUUGUCCGGAUUUAUUGGGCGUAAAGGGCUCGUAGGUGGUUGAUCGCGUCGGAAGUGUAAUCUUGGGGCUUAACCCUGAGCGUGCUUUCGAUACGGGUUGACUUGAGGAAGGUAGGGGAGAAUGGAAUUCCUGGUGGAGCGGUGGAAUGCGCAGAUAUCAGGAGGAACACCAGUGGCGAAGGCGGUUCUCUGGGCCUUUCCUGACGCUGAGGAGCGAAAGCGUGGGGAGCGAACAGGCUUAGAUACCCUGGUAGUCCACGCUGUAAACGGUGGGUACUAGGUGUGGGGUCCAUUCCACGGGUUCCGUGCCGUAGCUAACGCUUUAAGUACCCCGCCUGGGGAGUACGGCCGCAAGGCUAAAACUCAAAGGAAUUGACGGGGCCCCCCACAAGCGGUGGAGCAUGUGGA